rnacentral:rRNA from 1 species
CGAGACACGAGAAACCUUGUGGGAAGCCGGGGGGACCACCCCCCAAGCCUAAAUACUCCCUAGUGACCGAUAGUGAAGCAGUACUGUGAAGGAAAGGUGAAAAGGACCCCGGGAGGGGAGUGAAAGAGAACCUGAAACCUUGUGCUUACAAACAGUCAAAGGCCUACGGGCUGAUGGCGUACUUUUUGUAGAACGGUCCGGCGAGUUACUAAUGCCAGCGAGGUUAAGAUGUCAGAAGAAUAGGGCGUAGAGUUGGUAUUAGUAGACCCGAAACCGGGUGACCUAUCCAUGUCCAGGUUGAAGGAACCGUAAAAGGUUUUGGAGGACCGAACACACAUGUGUUGAAAAACGUGGUGAUGAGGUGUGGAUAGCGGAGAAAUUCCAAUCGAACUCGGAGAUAGCUGGUUCUCCUCGAAAUAGCUUUAGGGCUAGCCUCGAGCUGGAGUCUAACGGAGGUAAAGCACUGAACUGACGCGGGGCCCAAAAAGGUUACCAACUCAUAUCAAACUAAGAAUGCCGUCAAGAUACCCUCGGGAGUCAGUCUGCGUGAGAUAAGUCGCGUGGACAAAAGGGAAAGAGCCCAGACCGACAGCUAAGGUCCCAAAGUACGUGUUAAGUGGAAAAGGAUGUGGGAUUUCAAAGACAACUAGGAUGUUGGCUUAGAAGCAGCCAUACAUUUAAAGAGUGCGUAAUAGCUCACUAGUCGAGAAAACCUGCGCCGAAAAUGUAACGGGGCUAAAACACGACACCGAAGCUACGGAUUCCUUACAAAGUAAGGAGUGGUAGAGGAGCAUCCUGCAAGGACGAAGCCAAAGUGAGAGCGAUGGUGGACGAAACAGGAGAGAGAAUGCCGGAAUGAGUAGCGAGAUACAUGUGAGAAACAUGUAGGCCGAAUAUCUAAGGAUUCCUGGGUAAAGCUAAUCUUCCCAGGGUUAGUCGGGGCCUAAGGCGAGGACGAAAGUCGUAGUCGAUGGAUAACAGGUUGAUAUUCCUGUACUACACAUAAUCAGAACUGUGGGGACGCAGAAGGAUAGGGAAACCGGGGAAUGGAAAGACCCGGUCAAGCGUAAAGCUGUGGGAGAUAGGCAAAUCCGUCUUCUGUAAGUGAAACGUGAUGAGGACUGAAAAAAAGUAAGGAAGUUUCCGAAUCCACACUGCCGAGAAAAGCCGCUAUUGCGUUAUGUGUACCCGUACCGUAAACCGACACAGGUAGAUGAGGAGAAAAUCCACAGGCCGACGGGAGAAGUGUUGUUAAGGAACUCGGCAAAAUGACCCCGUAACUUCGGGAUAAGGGGAGCCACCGCGAGGUGGUCACAGAAAAGAGGCACAAGCAACUGUUUAGCAAAAACACAGGUCUAUGCGAAACCGUAAGGUGAAGUAUAUGGGCUGACGCCUGCCCGGUGCUGGAAGGUUAAGAGGAGAGGUUAGUCGCAAGAUGAAGCUUUGAAUUUAAGCCCCAGUAAACGGCGGCCGUAACUAUAACGGUCCUAAGGUAGCGAAAUUCCUUGUCGGGUAAGUUCCGACCCGCACGAAAGGCGUAAUGAUUUGAGCACUGUCUCGACAAUGCAUCCGGUGAAAUUGAAGUACCAGUGAAGAUGCUGGUUACCCGCGCCAGGACGGAAAGACCCCAUGGAGCUUUACUCCAGUUUGGUACUGGGAUUCGGUACUGCAUGUACAGGAUAGGUGGGAGACUGAGAAAUUGGAACGCCAGUUUCAAUGGAGUCACUGUUGGGAUACCACCCCUGCAGUAUUGGGUUUCUAACCAGCCGCUGUGAUCCAGCGGUGGGACAAUGCCAGGCGGGGAGUUUGACUGGGGCGGUCGCCUCCGAAAGGGUAUCGGAGGCGCUCAAAGGUUCCCUCAGAAUGGUCGGAAACCAUUCGAAGAGUGCAAAGGCAGAAGGGAGCUUGACUGCGACACCGACGGGUGGAGCAGGUACGAAAGUAG